AGUUUGAUCAUGGCUCAGAUUGAACGCUGGCGGCAGGCCUAACACAUGCAAGUCGAGCGGUAGCACAGAAGAGCUUGCUCUUUGGGUGACGAGCGGCGGACGGGUGAGUAAUGUCUGGGAAACUGCCUGAUGGAGGGGGAUAACUACUGGAAACGGUAGCUAAUACCGCAUAACCUCGCAAGAGCAAAGAGGGGGACCUUCGGGCCUCUCGCCAUCAGAUGUGCCCAGAUGGGAUUAGCUAGUAGGUGAGGUAAUGGCUCACCUAGGCGACGAUCCCUAGCUGGUCUGAGAGGAUGACCAGCCACACUGGAACUGAGACACGGUCCAGACUCCUACGGGAGGCAGCAGUGGGGAAUAUUGCACAAUGGGCGCAAGCCUGAUGCAGCCAUGCCGCGUGUGUGAAGAAGGCCUUCGGGUUGUAAAGCACUUUCAGCGAGGAGGAAGGCGGUAAGGUUAAUAACCUUAUCGAUUGACGUUACUCGCAGAAGAAGCACCGGCUAACUCCGUGCCAGCAGCCGCGGUAAUACGGAGGGUGCAAGCGUUAAUCGGAAUGACUGGGCGUAAAGCGCACGCAGGCGGUCUGUUAAGUUGGAUGUGAAAUCCCCGGGCUUAACCUGGGAACUGCAUUCAAAACUGACAGGCUAGAGUCUUGUAGAGGGGGGUAGAAUUCCAGGUGUAGCGGUGAAAUGCGUAGAGAUCUGGAGGAAUACCGGUGGCGAAGGCGGCCCCCUGGACAAAGACUGACGCUCAGGUGCGAAAGCGUGGGGAGCAAACAGGAUUAGAUACCCUGGUAGUCCACGCUGUAAACGAUGUCGAUUUGGAGGUUGUGCCCUUGAGGCGUGGCUUCCGGAGCUAACGCGUUAAAUCGACCGCCUGGGGAGUACGGCCGCAAGGUUAAAACUCAAAUGAAUUGACGGGGGCCCGCACAAGCGGUGGAGCAUGUGGUUUAAUUCGAUGCAACGCGAAGAACCUUACCUACUCUUGACAUCCAGAGAAUUAGCUAGAGAUAGCUGAGUGCCUUCGGGAACUCUGAGACAGGUGCUGCAUGGCUGUCGUCAGCUCGUGUUGUGAAAUGUUGGGUUAAGUCCCGCAACGAGCGCAACCCUUAUCCUUUGUUGCCAGCGAUUCGGUCGGGAACUCAAAGGAGACUGCCGGUGAUAAACCGGAGGAAGGUGGGGAUGACGUCAAGUCAUCAUGGCCCUUACGAGUAGGGCUACACACGUGCUACAAUGGCGUAUACAAAGAGAAGCGACCUCGCGAGAGCAAGCGGACCUCAUAAAGUACGUCGUAGUCCGGAUUGGAGUCUGCAACUCGACUCCAUGAAGUCGGAAUCGCUAGUAAUCGUAGAUCAGAAUGCUACGGUGAAUACGUUCCCGGGCCUUGUACACACCGCCCGUCACACCAUGGGAGUGGGUUGCAAAAGAAGUAGGUAGCUUAACCUUCGGGAGGGCGCUUACCACUUUGUGAUUCAUGACUGGGGUGAAGUCGUAACAAGGUAACCGUAGGGGAACCUGCGGUUGGAUCACCUCCUUACCAAGAAGAUGUGUGUUA
rnacentral:rRNA from 1 species